rnacentral:rRNA from 1 species
UAAUAGAAUUUUAUUAUAAAAGUUUUUAUAAAUAUAUUUGUUUAAAAAUUAUUUUUUUGUUUUUGUAUUUAUUAGUGAAAAAAUUAUUUUGAUUAUAAUAAAUUUGUACUGUAAAGGUUAAGUAAAAUGUUAAGUAUUGAAUAAGUUGAAUUUAUUUUUUGUACCUUGUGUAUCAGGGUUAAUUAAUAAUAAAUUAAUUAAGUUAAUUAUCUUGAUUUCAUUAGAGUUAAUAAAUUAAUUGAGUUAUUGUUUUAUAAAUAUUUAUAAUAAUUUAUUAGAAGUGAUAUAUUAUUCGUUUAUGAGGAUAUCUAGUUUUCUGGGAAAUAAAUUUAAUUUACAUAUUUUUAUUUAUAUUUUGUUUAAUAUAUUUUAUUUAAUAUGAUUAUUGAAAGGGAUAAACUUUUUAAUAUAAAUUUAUAAGAUUCUUUUUAUUUUAAAAUAUUAUGAAUUUAAGAAUAGUUAUUGAUAUAAAUUUGUUAUAAUUUAAAUUUAUUAAUGGAAUUAUUUAUAAUGUCUUUAAUAUUUUACUGGAAAUUUUUAUUUAAUUUAUAAUUAAUUUUUAUAAUGAUUAAAUUAGUAUAAGUAUUUAUCUGUAUAUUGAAAAUUAAGGUUUAGGAAUUAGGCAAUUAAUAAUUUAUUCGCCUGUUUAUCAAAAACAUCUUUUCUUGUUUUUUAUAUGAAAUAUAACCUGCCCAAUGAUUUUUACAAAUUGAAUGGCCGCGGUAUAUUGACCGUGCAAAGGUAGCAUAAUAAUUAGUCUUUUAAUUAAAGGCUAGAAUGAAUGGUUGAGCGAGAUAAAAUCUGUCUUGGGUUUAUUGAUUUGAAUUUAAUUAUUAAGUUAAAAAGCUUAAAUUUUUUUAUGGGACGAUAAGACCCUAUAGAAUUUAAUAAUUAUGUAUAUAUUAUUAGUUUGAAAUUUUAAUUAAUUUAUAUAAUUAUUUUAUUGGGGUGAUAAUAAGAUAGAAGUAACUCUUGUUUUAUUAUAAAUAUAUAUAUAUAAUGUUAUUGAUCCAGUAUUAUUGAUUAUAAGAUAAAUUACCUUAGGGAUAACAGCAUAAUCCUUUUUAAGAGUUCAAAUUGACAAAAGGGAUUGUGACCUCGAUGUUGGAUUAAGAAUAGAUUUUUGUGUAGCUGCUUAAGUUCUAGGUCUGUUCGACCUUUAAUUUCUUACAUGAUCUGAGUUCAAACCGGUGUGAGCCAGGUUGGUUUCUAUCUAUAAUAAUGUUUAAUAUUUUAGUACGAAAGGACCAAAUAUUUGGAAUAAUUUUUACUAAUUGAUUUUAAUUAAAGAUAU